rnacentral:rRNA from 1 species
GAUGAACGCUGGCGGCGUGCCUAAUACAUGCGAGUAGAACGCUGAAGGAGGAGCUUGCUCUUCUGGAUGAGUUGCGAACGGGUGAGUAACGCGUAGGUAACCUGCCUGGUAGCGGGGGAUAACUAUUGGAAACGAUAGCUAAUACCGCAUGACAACAGUUAUUGCAUGAUAACUGUUUAAAAGGGGCAACUGCUCCACUACCAGAUGGACCUGCGUUGUAUUAGCUAGUUGGUGAGGUAACGGCUCACCAAGGCGACGAUACAUAGCCGACCUGAGAGGGUGAUCGGCCACACUGGGACUGAGACACGGCCCAGACUCCUACGGGAGGCAGCAGUAGGGAAUCUUCGGCAAUGGACGGAAGUCUGACCGAGCAACGCCGCGUGAGUGAAGAAGGUUUUCGGAUCGUAAAGCUCUGUUGUAAGAGAAGAACGAGUGUGAGAGUGGAAAGUUCACACUGUGACGGCAUCUUACCAGAAAGGGACGGCUAACUACGUG